rnacentral:lncRNA from 1 species
GAGAAACUGUAAAUUCAAGUUUGAUAGUACCUGUUUAAGUGUUGUACUUCCAUUGCAGAGAGCAUCUAAUAUCCCAGUUUAGAUCUGUUUCUUUAUACUUUUUCUAGUUGCUUGCUUAACGUUACGUUAGGUCAUUAUAACUCUCCCACGAGCUUUUCCUUAUCUUAUUAUAAUAGAUUCUUACUUAAGUCUCUCUGGUAGGAAUUAUGAAUGUGUCCUCAUUAUACCCAUCAACUAGAUAAGCAAGAAUCUUUUAACAUAGUAGAUAGCCUGGUGGUUUUAGAAGUCUUUGGUGAUUUUUAUUGGCGGGAGUUUUCCUAAGUAUUGGUUUAGGGACAUCUCCUCAGAUACUAGCACAGCAUUUCUUGGGUGGUAAUCACGGGUUUGAUGCCUAUCUCCCUCAGAGAAUAGCGUUUUCCUCACUAACACAGGUGGGACUCUGAGGAGGUUUUCUUCUCAUAGAAGAUGCAUGUGUGGAGAGAAUCUGAGGCAUGCAUUCUGCGUAAAUGGUUCUAUCUGCUAAACAGAAAGGUGGACCGUUCUUUGCAAUUCACUGGAUUACAGUUUAGCAUGUCCUAAUUACAAGAGGUAAGAGUAUUUGUCAAGCCUUUGUUAUAUUGGCUUUUUCAUAAUAGAAACUUCUCUUUUAAAAUGAAUUAUUAUAAUUGAAGUGUUACUUUAAAAUUGGAUGAUUUACAGAAACAAAUGAGAAACCAUAGUCCUUUAAGGAUUUAUUUGAGGAUACUGUUUUUUAAAAGUUUGAAUUUUUGUGUAGAGGUAG